GGUUUUAGCCUAUGAUGUUCUUAUUCAAAAUGUCUGAACCUGUCUGAAACAUCCCAGUAAAGCAAGCUGUUGUGAAAAAAAAAAGAAAUAAAGGUUUUAGUUCUA